AUUGAACGCUGGCGGCAGGCCUAACACAUGCAAGUCGAGCGGAUGAAGGGAGCUUGCUCCUGGAUUCAGCGGCGGACGGGUGAGUAAUGCCUAGGAAUCUGCCUGGUAGUGGGGGAUAACGUCCGGAAACGGGCGCUAAUACCGCAUACGUCCUGAGGGAGAAAGUGGGGGAUCUUCGGACCUCACGCUAUCAGAUGAGCCUAGGUCGGAUUAGCUAGUUGGUGGGGUAAAGGCCUACCAAGGCGACGAUCCGUAACUGGUCUGAGAGGAUGAUCAGUCACACUGGAACUGAGACAUGGUCCAGACUCCUACGGGAGGCAGCAGUGGGGAAUAUUGGACAAUGGGCGAAAGCCUGAUCCAGCCAUGCCGCGUGUGUGAAGAAGGCCUUCGGAUUGUAAAGCACUUUAAGUUGGGAGGAAGGGCAGUAAGUUAAUACCUUGCUGUUUUGACGUUACCAACAGAAUAAGCGCCGGCUAACUUCGUG
rnacentral:rRNA from 1 species